UCGCGUGUGUGCGAAUGGAUAAGGCGUCCGCCUACAGGCUGAAGGUUGGUGGUUCGACUCCGCUGGUGGAAA
rnacentral:tRNA from 1 species